rnacentral:rRNA from 1 species
ACGCUCGACACCUACGGGAGACAGCAGUGGGGAAUAUUGCACAAUGGGGGAAACCCUGAUGCAGCGACGCCGCGUGGAGGAAGAAGGUCUUCGGAUUGUAAACUCCUGUUGUUGGGGAAAAAGAGGAUGGUACCCAACAAGGAAGUGACGGCUAACUACGUGCCAGCNGCGNGUAUNGAGGCGGGCGUGGACGAAGGC